rnacentral:tRNA from 1 species
GAGGCUGUAGCUCAGUCGGUAGAGCAACGGACUUUUAAUCCGUAGGCCUCGGGUUCGAGUCCCGACAGCCUCA